CUGAGCCUCAGAAUUGUGACUAUUAUCUAGAUGAGAACAUUUCUAGUGUUCACAUGUAUUCCCAGAAUAUGACCUAGGGAGACAUUUUCUCUAUACUUUAUUUAAAAACCAACAAGAUGUUGAAAUUGAAAUUGACUGGAUUGCAGAAUGACAACCUGCACACUGUUGAACAGUUAACAUGCGGCUGUCACUCUACUCACACUGAAGGUUUGAGUUUGAUCUUACCUGUGAUUAGUUUUCUCGAGGAAUGGGUUAAAGCAGUAGAGAAUUUUAAUUUUGGUCUAAACCCAGUGUAUUACCUUUCUCUUCCAAUUGCCCAGGUUCUGCUGAUCUUCUCUGUGUGCCAUGCUCUUCCUGCCCUACCCUGGUCUACUCAGGUCUGUCUGUUAAACAGGCAAAGGAAUUUACAAGUGGUCCUUAAGGAGACUGUAGCUGACUGAAUCCUUACAUAUAGUCCUACUUUGAUGUACUAAAUGUAAUCUCUAAGAAAUGUUAUUUUCCUAAUGUUAAUAAUAAACAAGCACUCUUGUAAGGAGGGUGUGCAUCUAUGUAUAGUCCAAGAACACUAAUUCAGUCAAUUGGCUAUGGAAUCUGAUAUCCUUUGAUCUGGUCAGUGUCUUGGGUUUAUGUUACUUUAUAUGUAGUUAUUAAAAUUAAUGUUUGAUAUAUUAAAUGUUGGCUGACUCGAGUGCUUAAAAUUUUCUGGAUUUUAAUUUAGCUCAGGUUUUCUACCUCUAUUUUUAUAAUAGUAUCUCAUAUUUCAGGUUAAUAAACAUUACAGUUGCCCACAUGUGCCAAGAUACAGCAUUAGUCCUUUGCAGCAGUUAACUGCUUGGUGUUAGCCUCUGAGAUGUAAACUCUUUGCAUCGGGAAGAAAUUUACCCCCCACAACUGCCCCAAUAUCAUUAUAUUACCCAUUCCUAUUAAAAUAUACAGAUAUGUUACUUCAGUAAAGCAAAAUAACAAAUAAUGAAAUGCAUGCCCUCAGAGCACUUGCAAGGAAAAUCACUGGUUCAUUUAUCCAAUUAGUGAGUCACAUUAAGACUUCCAGUUUAAAUCUGAUGGAUGCCUCUUUUGGAAUGUGCUAUGUAUUGAUUCUAAGUGAAUGGAUCUCAGUUAAUCUAUUGACUACAUUUGCUAUUUUUUAUCUUAUUUGCCUUAAACGCAAGACUUUUUGGUGGGCUUUAAUGAAUUAAUGCUAAAUUAUACAACUCUGUAUAGCUGUAAAAGAAACAAUUGUUAAAGACUAAAACAGAGCUAAGGAAUAAACAAGCAAUUUCUGACUUCUGAAUUAAGUCAUGUUUAAAUAUAAAUACUAAAAUUAUAAAUGAUGUAAUAAAUUUUCUUACAUUAUUGUUUUUGUAUGAUGAAACUAAUCUUAGUAAUAAGUAUUUUUAUAGAUGGAAAUAAAUUAAAGGUUUAUGUAUUA